GUGUGUGUGUGUGUGUGUGUGUGUGUGUGUGUGUGUGUGUGUGUGUGUGAUCUAAUAUUCAGUACUUUGAAAGUACAGAAUCAAACAGCUUCACAGAGUGAGGAAGGGACACAACAAUUAAGGAUUAGAAAA